rnacentral:rRNA from 1 species
AGCGGCGGACGGGUGAGUAACACGUGGGUAACCUGCCUUUAAGACUGGGAUAACAUUCGGAAACGGAUGCUAAUACCGGAUAGGCGAUUUGGUCGCAUGAUCGAAUCGAGAAAGAUGGAGCAAUCUAUCACUUAGAGAUGGACCCGCGGCGCAUUAGCUAGUUGGUGAGGUAACGGCUCACCAAGGCGACGAUGCGUAGCCGACCUGAGAGGGUGAUCGGCCACACUGGGACUGAGACACGGCCCAGACUCCUACGGGAGGCAGCAGUAGGGAAUCUUCCGCAAUGGACGAAAGUCUGACGGAGCAACGCCGCGUGAGUGAUGAAGGUUUUCGGAUCGUAAAGCUCUGUUGCCAGGGAAGAACGCUUGGGAUAGUAACUGCUCCCAAGGUGACGGUACCUGAGAAGAAAGCCCCGGCUAACU